AAAUUAUUUUAUAAUAGAGAAAACACAGGGGGCAAAUUGAAAAGACUCAGGGUGAUAUCGUUGCAGACAAGGAUGUUAUUAUUCGUCGUUCAUGGUUGAAUGAUGUGAAACAUAUGUUACGCUGAUACAGACAGAGCCACAGCAUGGGCUUGCAAAUCUUGCUAUCAUAUUUGUUAGGAGAUGCUGGCAGCCUUAUAUUGUGGGUUUGGUAUGUAAUAUAUAAUUUGUUGUGCCUAAUAAAGCUAUGAA